CAUCUAACCUGGCAUCAGGAAGAGGUUUUGCUCUUCAGGGUGAGGCCCAUUCAUUAUAUUCCAGAUGUGCUGAACCUUGCAAUGUUUCCAGAGGAAGGAAACUCAACUGCACGGUUUGGGGUAGUGGGGAACUUGUUCACACUCUCCCAU
ensembl:snRNA U1 U1 spliceosomal RNA